ensembl:lncRNA
CCAGAGCAUUUCUGCAGGCCCCAGCAGGGGCCGGAGGGGAGACCAGGAGGGCGUGGGGGCUGGUCAGCACCGGCUCUGCAGUCUCAUUGCCGGAUCCCAUCUGGAGCCAGGAGGCGCAGAAACCUGGCGGCUUCCGAAGCAGAUGAAAAGCCAACCUCCCUCAAAUUGUUUUAUUUAAAGCCAGAUUCCUGACUGUUUGAAGCCGCUUGAUUUUGGCAGUCCUUGUUUCUUUUCCUUUUAAACAGCCCUCGGAGAUGAGGGGAACGUAUCGCUGCCGGCGCCUCACUUGCAGAUGCUCAGAAGACCUUCGGCCUCCCCCGCCCCUACCGGCUGCUCCCCGCUGCAGCUGAGCGCCACCUGCCUGGUUUUCAUAGGGAAAGGGAAGAAUUUCAACCCACUGAGACCUAUGACCAGAGAGUCUCCCUUUUCCAUUUGGUUGGAAGUAGAAGGAACUUGCCAAAAUUAAAGAAGUCGAGACAAAGCAACCCAAGUGUGUCCAUCAGCAGAU